rnacentral:rRNA from 1 species
AACAAAAACAUGUCCUUUAGGAAAAUAAUUUAAGGUCUAAUCUGCCCACUGAAUAAUUGAAUGGCCGCAGUAAUUUGACUGUGCAAAGGUAGCAUAAUCAUUAGUUUUUUAAUUAAAAGCUUGUAUGAAUGAUUGGACGAGAUAAAAUCUGUCUCUUAAUUAAGAUUAGAAUUUAAUUUUUAAGUUAAAAAGCUUAAAUUUUUAUGAAAGACGAGAAGACCCUAUAGAUCUUUAUUUAUGAAGUAUAAUUAUUAUAAGGAUUUUAUUAUUAUUUAUAUUUAAGUAAAUUUUAUUGGGGUAAUAGGAAGAUUAAUAUAAUUCUUUUUUAUUUAAAACAAUAAUAAUUGAUUAGAAGAUCCAUUUUUAGUGAUUAAAAGAUUAAGUUACCUUAGGGAUAACAGCGUAAUUUUUUUAAAGAGUUCAUAUCGAUAGAAAAGAUUGCGACCUCGAUGUUG